AUUGAACGCUGGCGGCAUGCCUUACACAUGCAAGUCGAACGGCAGCACGGGGGCAACCCUGGUGGCGAGUGGCGAACGGGUGAGUAAUGCAUCGGAACGUGCCCAGUAGUGGGGGAUAACCAGUCGAAAGACUGGCUAAUACCGCAUACGACCUAAGGGUGAACGCGGGGGACCGGAAGGCCUCGCGCUCUUGGAGCGGCCGAUGUCUGAUUAGCUAGUUGGCGGGGUAAGAGCCCACCAAGGCGACGAUCAGUAGCUGGUCUGAGAGGACGACCAGCCACACUGAGACUGAGACACGGCCCAGACUCCUACGGGAGGCAGCAGUGGGGAAUUUUGGACAAUGGGCGCAAGCCUGAUCCAGCAAUGCCGCGUGCAGGAAGAAGGCCUUCGGGUUGUAAACUGCUUUUGUCAAGGAAGAAAUCUUCUGGGCUAAUACCUCGGGAGGAUGACGGUACCUGAAGAAUAAGCACCGGCUAACUACGUGCCAGCCGCCGCAGUAAGAC
rnacentral:rRNA from 1 species